UAACCAGAGACUGAGGUCAUCAGUUAAUACCUGACCAAAGUGUCACAACAGUUGGCUGCUGAUCUUUGUAGUUUUCCGAAUCAAGAAUCGAUGCAUGACCCACUGCUCAGGCAGUGUCAGGUUCCAUCUGCUGCUCGUAUUAACAGCAGAUGGGCCCUUACUAUAAGAGCAUGGCAACAGCCAUGAACUGAUUGCGCAGGCGUCCAGUUGUCCUGAUCGUUCACAGAUUCUGCAUUUCCAUAAUCCUGUCAUCUGGAGACGGUUGAAAGGCUGGUUCCUCUUCUAGUUUCAGAGUUUCAGUGAAGAGGGCGACAGAUGAAACAGUAGGUAAAAGAAAACAGAAACGAUUGUGAUGUAAGCCAGCUGCCAGUUCGGUGCAAGUGCAACCAGCAUCGUUUCGCAUGGGCCUAACUAAAGCCUGAGUAGAAAGAACAGGCACUGCAUCAUGGGCUCUGCUUGUUGGGCUAAGGUGAGCCUCUGAACAUUGAGGAGCUGUUCAUCCCAACCUAAUUCAGAGGUAGAGUCCACUGACAAAACAAUAGAACUCGAUCGAUGAGGACAUACCGUCCACUGCAGAAAAUUGUGGUUCAUCAGUAGAAUCUCACUACUGUCAAAAUAUCCUGUUAGGUUCGAGGUGUUAGCACAAAACAUGUACGGCUGGUUUGUUUAUGUAAGGCAAAUUGGCAUAUACAGAGUCUAAACAUGAGGCAACCGGACAAAUUUAUCCGGACGAUCAAACAAGUAAUAAUGCUCAAGAUCAUCGGUGUUAGUAACACCUGAGGGGCUGAGGGCAAACGUUGCU